UACGUAGGGGGCAAGCGUUGUCCGGAAUCAUUGGGCGUAAAGAGCGUGUAGGCGGCCCGGUAAGUCCGCUGUGAAAGUCGGGGGCUCAACCCUCGAAUGCCGGUGGAUACUGUCGGGCUAGAGUGCGGAAGAGGCGAGUGGAAUUCCUGGUGUAGCGGUGAAAUGCGCAGAUAUCAGGAGGAACACCUAUUGCGAAGGCAGCUCGCUGGGACGUAACUGACGCUGAGACGCGAAAGCGUGGGGGAGCAAAACAGG
rnacentral:rRNA from 1 species